CACGUUAUUCAGGCUACCUUUCUGCAUCUGUAGAAUGUGGGCCAGGACCUGCUGGGUCAGCCUGUGAUUUAGUGACUCACUGUGAAACCCAGGCUGAGUAAUAGAACCUGAAGCUCUCUUCUUGUUCAUUUUCAGGAUGGUUCUCUUGGGUUUGUUUAUUCCUUGGUCUCUCCUGAUUCUGGCCUGAAAGAGCUAAGCCACAGUCAGAUGAUCAAAGCAACUGGUGCAAGACAAUUGCUUUGAUUUGCUGUUUGCUUCAGAUCUGGAUUACCAGCUGUAGCCUUUCUAAUCAAGCCUCUCUGAGCACGGGAUUUAAACAUUCACAGAUUCCCAGAAAUUCCCUUGGUCUCAGGGGAGGCAGGCCCGAGUCUUAUUCCGGAGGUGGGCAUAUAAGCCAGUUCUGGCUACGGAACAUCGAGAAAGGUUUACUUCCUGAUAAGAGGAAGGAACUGCUUAAAGAGGGGCACAAGAUCCUUUGGAUAACAACAAGGCUGAAGCUACAUGAGGCACUUUCUUUUAAAAAUAUAUAUAUUUUUGGGGGCAGCCCCGGGGGUGUAGUGGUUUAGCGCCGCCUGCAGCCCAGGGCAUGAUCCUGGAGACCCGGGAUCGAGUCCCACGUCAGGCUCCCUGCGUGGAGCCUGCUUCUCCCUCUGCCUAUGUCUCUGCCUCUCUUUCUCUCCCUCUCUCUCUGCAUCUCUAUGAAUAAAUAAAUAAAAUCUUCAAAAAAUUAAAAAAAU
rnacentral:lncRNA from 12 species